AUACUUCCAGGAAAAGUCUCUAAGCUUCAGUUACACAGGAAUCGUACCCGAAACCGACACAGGUGGUCAGGUCGAGUAGACCAAAGCGCUUGAGAGAACUCUGCUGAAGGAACUAGGCAAAAUGGUACCGUAACUUCGGGAGAAGGUACGCUGCCGAUGGUGAGUAGACAUGCACUACAAAGCUAUUGGCAGUCGCAGAUACCAGGCCGCUGCAACUGUUUAUUAAAAACACAGCACUCUGCAAACACGAAAGUGGACGUAUAGGGUGUGACGCCUGCCCGGUGCUGGAAGAUUAAAUGAUGGGGUGCAAGCUCUUGAUUGAAGUCCCAGUAAACGGCGGCCGUAACAAUAACGGUCCUAAGGUAGCG
rnacentral:rRNA from 1 species